GAUGAACGCUGGCGGCGUGCCUAAUACAUGCAAGUCGAGCGAACAGACGAGGAGCUUGCUCCUCUGACGUUAGCGGCGGACGGGUGAGUAACACGUGGAUAACCUACCUAUAAGACUGGGAUAACUUCGGGAAACCGGAGCUAAUACCGGAUAAGAUAUUGAACCGCAUGGUUCAAUAGUGAAAGACGGUUUUGCUGUCACUUAUAGAUGGAUCCGCGCCGCAUUAGCUAGUUGGUAAGGUAACGGCUUACGAAGGCGACGAUGCGUAGCCGACCUGAGAGGGGGAUCGGCGACCCUGGAGCUGAACCACCCUCCAGACUCCUACGGGAGGGAGCAGUAGGCAAUCUUCCGCAAUGGGCGAAAGCCUUACGGAGCAACGCCGCGCGAGUGAUGAAGGUCUUCGGAUCGUAAAACUCUGUUAUUAGUGAAGAACAAAUGUGUAAGUAACUAUGCACGUCUUGACGGUACCUAAUCAGAAAGCCCCGGCUAACUACGUG
rnacentral:rRNA from 1 species